GGAGCAGCCGGGGUUGGGAGGGGGGGGGUUGGGGAGUCUUUGUCUGGGCAUCCGUGGCCUUCAGAGCCUGGUGCAAGGAAGACGUGAGCUGAGCCAGGUGGAAACGGCGUCCCCUCGGACCGCCGCUGAGUGAGGAGACAGGGGAAAGAACCUGUCGGACGCCCAGGACAGAGGCCAGAGCAGGAAAGAGCAUCCAGGUAGGGAGGCCUAGGCAGGCGCCAGACGAGAGGCAUCGCGAUUUCUCGCUCAGGAAAUGGAAUUUGAUGUUUGUUUGAUGUGAAAGGAUGAACUCAGUCCUCAGGGCGGCUGCCAGAUCCCCGUCGGCGGCGGCUUCUGUGCAUUCCCGUUGGUCCCCGUGUGUCCGCGUGUUGUACGUGGGUUUCAUUUAAUCGAAUUCCCCGGGCAGCCUGAGGAUGGAAGAGAAUGCAACGCGUAGAAGGAAGAGCCAUUCGUAUUGGCCACGGUCCUUGAUUAAAACUCACAACCGGGUGCUGGGUCUGCCCCCCUCGGAUCCAGCCGGCUCUUUGCCCCCGUCUUCUGGGUCGCUUAGCUGCACCGGGCCUCCUGGGCUCUCAGCCCCUGGUCCACAUACCCCCCUGGCUUCCUCCAAAACCCUGUGUCACGUGGAGGCUGCCUUUUAUUCCUCCCAAGGGUGUAACGCAAUCUGCAACUCCGGGUCAGACCCUGCAGGGCAACUUGAACUUCGGAAAGUUGAGGUUCGGUCAGUCGACAACCCAUCGUCCCUGCUUGGGCGACGUCACGAUUCCUUAAGGAUCAUCAAGUUGAUGGAGUGGAUGCCGUGAGCCUUUGAAAAACCCAGCCGGUUGAAAAAUACCAGAAGGUGCCCUGAGGCUCCCAGGUCAGAGGGAGGCUCCUCGGAAGUGACGGCUGAGUCGUAGGGAAACCGGAAUGCCCUGGUCAACGGGGCCCCAGGCGCCCCACCCGUGCCUAAGAGCGAGCGAUGUGUCCAACUGGAAAGCGGCAGAGGUGAUUGGGGGGUCACGACCGACUUCGGGCUCCCAGGUCGGGGCGGGGCUCUGCUGUCUGAAUUAUUCUUGCAAACCUGUGAGCGAUUCUGCAGGCUCCCAUGGACUCAGCCCUGCCUGCUGGAUGGAAUCACCCGGGGAGCUUAAGAAACACCAGAGUCGGGCUGCCCCCCAGCCCUGAGAUUCGGACGUAUUUGGUGUUGGGUGAAACCUCAGCAUCAGUUUCCCCGGUGGUGGGUGAAACUCCCAGGAUGCUCUGUGUCCUGAGCUGACUGGCGUUUAGGCUGAAUGGCCGCGUGGGUCCA
rnacentral:lncRNA from 1 species